UUGGAGGGCAAGUCUGGUGCCAGCAGCCGCGGUAAUUCCAGCUCCAAUAGCGUAUAUUAAAGUUGUUGCAGUUAAAAAGCUCGUAGUUGAACUUCGGGAUCAAUGGAUUGGUCAUGCCGAUGGUAUGUACUGGUCAUAUUGGUUCUCACCUUCUAAGGAACCAUAAUGUCAUUUAUUUGAUGUUGUGGGGAAUUAGGACUGUUACCUUGAAAAAAUUAGAGUGUUUAAAGCAGGCUGACGCUUGAAUACAUUAGCAUGGAAUAAUGAAAUAGGACAUCGCAUUCUAUUUUGUUGGUUUCUAGGAUCGAUGUAAUGAUUAAUAGGGAUAGUUGGGGGCAUUAGUAUUCAAUUGUCAGAGGUGAAAUUCUUGGAUUUAUUGAAGACUAACUACUGCGAAAGCAUUUGCCAAGGAUGUUUUCAUUAAUCAAGAACGAAAGUUAGGGGAUCGAAGACGAUCAGAUACCGUCGUAGUCUUAACCAUAAACUAUGCCGACUAGGGAUCGGAUGAUGUUAAUUUUUUAAUGACUCAUUCGGCGCCUUACGGGAAACAAUCG
rnacentral:rRNA from 1 species